ACGGAAGUUUAAGCAAUUAAACUUUAGUGGCGAACGGGUGAGUAACGCGUAAGCAAUCUGCCCCUAAGACGAGGAUAACAGUUGGAAACGACUGCUAAGACUGGAUAGGAGACAAGAAGGCAUCUUCUUGUUUUUAAAAGACCUAGCAAUAGGUAUGCUUAGGGAGGAGCUUGCGUCACAUUAGUUAGUUGGUGGGGUAAAGGCCUACCAAGACUAUGAUGUGUAGCCGGGCUGAGAGGUUGAACGGCCACAUUGGGACUGAGACACGGCCCAAACUCCUACGGGAGGCAGCAGUAGGGAAUUUUCGGCAAUGGAGGAAACUCUGACCGAGCAACGCCGCGUGAACGAUGAAGUAUUUCGGUACGUAAAGUUCUUUUAUUAGGGAAGAAUAAAUGAUGGAAAAAUCAUUCUGACGGUACCUAAUGAAUAAGCCCCGGCUAACUAUGUGCCAGCAGCCGCGGUAAUACAUAGGGGGCAAGCGUUAUCCGGAAUUAUUGGGCGUAAAGGGUGCGUAGGCGGUUAAAUAAGUUUAUGGUCUAAGUGCAAUGCUCAACAUUGUGAUGCUAUAAAAACUGUUUAGCUAGAGUAAGAUAGAGGCAAGUGGAAUUCCAUGUGUAGUGGUAAAAUGCGUAAAUAUAUGGAGGAACACCAGUAGCGAAGGCGGCUUGCUGGGUCUUUACUGACGCUGAGGCACGAAAGCGUGGGGAGCAAACAGGAUUAGAUACCCUGGUAGUCCACGCCGUAAACGAUGAGUACUAAACGUUGGGUAAAACCAGUGUUGAAGUUAACACAUUAAGUACUCCGCCUGAGUAGUACGUACGCAAGUAUGAAACUUAAAGGAAUUGACGGGACUCCGCACAAGCGGUGGAUCAUGUUGUUUAAUUCGAAGGUACCCGAAAAACCUCACCAGGUCUUGACAUGCUUCUGCAAAGCUGUAGAAACACAGUGGAGGUUAUCAGUUGCACAGGUGGUGCAUGGUUGUCGUCAGCUCGUGUCGUGAGAUGUUGGGUUAAGUCCCGCAACGAGCGCAACCCUUAUUGUUAGUUACCAGCACGUAAUGGUGGGGACUUUAGCAAGACUGCCAGUGAUAAAUUGGAGGAAGGUGGGGACGACGUCAAAUCAUCAUGCCCCUUAUGACCUGGGCUACAAACGUGAUACAAUGGCUGUUACAAAGGGUAGCUGAAGCGCAAGUUUUUGGCGAAUCUCAAAAAAACAGUCUCAGUUCGGAUUGAAGUCUGCAACUCGACUUCAUGAAGUUGGAAUCGCUAGUAAUCGCGAAUCAGCAUGUCGCGGUGAAUACGUUCUCGGGGUUUGUACACACCGCCCGUCAAACCACGAAAGUUGGCAAUACCCAAAGCCGGUGGCCUAACUUCGCAAGAAGAGGGAACCGUCUAAGGUAGGGUUGAUGAUUGGGGUUAAG
rnacentral:rRNA from 1 species